AGUGCAGUGAAUAGAAGACACUUCUCUGCACCCCAAAAGCUCCAUGCUGAUUGCGAGAAGGAAAUGCUGGAUGGAGGGGUUCCUGGAACUACUGUGAGGGAUGAUACUUCAAAUUGAUACUUAAUAUACAGAAAUGACUAUCAUGGACAUAACCCACAACAUGUGAAAUGUAUGGCUCAUUCUACUGACAUUAUAAAGGAAAGUUAA
rnacentral:lncRNA from 1 species